rnacentral:rRNA from 1 species
UACGUAGGUGGCAAGCGUUGUCCGGAAUUAUUGGGCGUAAAGCGCGCGCAGGCGGUUCCUUAAGUCUGAUGUGAAAGCCCCCGGCUCAACCGGGGAGGGUCAUUGGAAACUGGGGAACUUGAGUACUGAAGAGGAAAGCGGAAUUCCACGUGUAGCGGUGAAAUGCGUAGAGAUGUGGAGGAACACCAGUGGCGAAGGCGGCUUCUGGUCAGUAACUGACGCUGAGGCGCGAAAGCGUGGGGAGCAAACAGG